GACUCUACCUUUCUCCCUUCCACCUCUUCUUUAUCAACACCAAGGGGGGUCUCUCACUCUCGCUCAACACCUCCUGGCGCUCACUGCUCCCGUCUGGUGAUCUUUGAGAGUUCCUUCUGCGAGACAAGCAAACAAGGAAGUAAGCAAAAUGCAUAAGCUGCUAACCCUCCUGCUGGUGGCGGUGGUGGUGGUGGCGACGCUCCCUCAGGCAGGAGCCAUCAGGUGCUACACGUGUCAGGGCUACCUCUCCUCUGCCAACCAGAAUAUCCUUACAAACAACAAGAACUGCCCUGCUGACAACUUCGACAGUAAUAAAGUCCAAACAGCCACUGGACAGGUGUGCAUGACGAUGGUUCAGGAAAUUGAUGGCGUCGAGAUCACAUCUCGCUCACCCGCCGACAUCAUGAAGAAGGACGCCAAGAAGACAAACUACAUCAAUUUCAGAGGCUACUUCUGCAACACUGACUACUGCAAUAGCAGGAGCCCGGGCAACGCAGCACCCGCCACCCACGCCCUCUGCCUGCCGCUCCUCCUCCUCUCCCUGCUGGCGGCAUUCCACCGACGCCUGGCUUGAGGGCCCUGACACAAUCACAAACACAGACACACACACACACACACACACACACACACACACACACACACACACACACACACACACACACUUUCCUUAGUGUCUCUUUGUAAGUUAAUCUGAACACUAAUACAUAAAUAAAUAAAAAUACAUGGUUUCUCUGAAGCUUGACAUGAUGUCUGCUCCAGUGGAAUGCACGCGAUGCUGUAGUGACGCGGAGUACUGCUGUUGUAUUACGUAUGUGUCAGCUGCAGGGCUAUGGACAUGAAAAGACAAGGGAAGCUGCAGGAAGCCAUCAUGCCUACACGUGGCAGUCCCUGUAUAAAACAUGCCUACCUAUUUCCACCUCACAUCCCUCAUCCAUUCACUUACCACUCUAUUGGGCAGCCACUUUCCUCGUAUCCUUCCUGGUAAACUCUUAUGUACGUGUCCAGGUGACAUGCAGGAAAGCUUGUCAUCCUAAGUGGGCAGUCUGGGUCUUUCCUCUCACUGGCGACGGGAAAUCUGACUCAGCUGCUGAUAUGUUCGGUGGCCGCCUAACGGGUCGCGACACUCCUGUGGCUCCCGGAGUGACAUGAGAGCCAAGAGAACCGCGAUGUCAUUAAUUGGAGGUGAUUGGAUCUUGUUCUCGCUGCUGUUGUUAUUAUUAAUAUUACUGCAUGUAUCCAGA